rnacentral:rRNA from 1 species
CGGGGAGCCCGCNCAAGCAGCGGAGCAUGUGGUUUAAUUGGAAGCAACGCGAAGAACCUUACCAGGUCUUGACAUCCAUCUAAAGCGAUAGAGAUNUNGUGUGAGCUUGCUCGAGAUGAGACAGGUGGUGCAUGGUUGUCGUCAGCUCGUGUCGUGAGAUGUUGGGUUAAGUCCCGCAACGAGCGCAACCCUUAUCGUCCGUUNCUAACAGGUAAAGCUGAGGACUCAGNCGAGACUGCCGGGGACAACUCGGAGGAAGAAGGGGACGACGUCAAAUCAUCAUGCCCCUUACGACCUGGGCUACACACGUGCUACAAUGGGUACAACAAAGAGAAGCAAAUCCGCAAGGCGGAGCAAAACUCAAAAGUACUCUCAGUUCGGAUUGUGGGCUGCAACCCGCCCACAUGAAGUUGGAGUUGCUAGUAAUCGCGGAUCAGCAUGCCGCGGUGAAUACGUUCCCGGGUCUUGUACACACCGCCCGUCACACCAUGGGAGUUGGGAGCGCCCGAAUNUNNGUGAGCUAACGGAAAGGAGGCAGCUGU